AGGUGAUGCGAGUGAAGGGUGAGUUGCUGCUGUUGGUGUUGGUGGGGGGGGAGAGCCAGGGAGAGAGUUGAGGAGUUCGCGUCCCGAGUUCCACGGAGGCGAGAUGUACAGCGCUCAUGAGUUGACGCGCCUGGUGGGCCUGGAUACAGACUUUGAACUCCAGAGAUUCUCGGACGAGGUGGAUUUAUACGGCAGCGGCUUUCGCCGAUCGAGUGAUCGGGCCUCCCUGCGCCAGCGUCCUCUCUGUGGGACAUGGCUAGUGGCUGGCUCCCCACCACCUGGAGUUAUCCCACACACUCCCCACGUACACCACCACUAAUGCGGGGGUAGCUGCGUGUGCGCGCCCCCCCCUCCCUGCUCACCACGGCACGCGCUAAAAAUAUCCGUAUGAAUAUGCACGCGUCCCACCUCGGGCUUUAAUCCGCUGUGCAAACAUGCACGGCGGGCAAAACGCCGGCCGGGUUGACGAAAAUAUUCGCGCGUUCCACCGCCAAGUGGCUAUCGUCGCUACGUGAAACACACUGCGUAAAACGCGCUGUGUAAACACGCAUGCGAACGAGGUUUUAACUCAACCCUCCCUCGCCUUAUUUCUCGCGUGCCUCCCACACACCCGCUCGAAUUACGUGUGCGUUCGUGUGGGGGGUGGGGGUGGGUGCUAGGGGAUAGCAGCUCUGGCAGAGUUUGCUCCGUUCCUGUGACACCACGCAGGCCCCUGAACACUGGAAGCACGGAGCAGCCGUCAGUGUCACCUUGCGGCAUCUUUUUCCUCGAUCUGUACACAGCCAUCUUCGCCCGAGCACAGGCGAAGUUGGCGAGAGGGAGACAGACACACACAGAGAGACAGAGAGAGGCACACAGAGAGACAGAGAGAGACAGAGAGAGAGACAGAGAGAGACACACAGAGAGACAGAGAGAGA